rnacentral:lncRNA from 1 species
CGUCAGUCUGUCGCUGCUCCUCUUCAUCAGAGACUCAGUUGAGUUCUGCAUCCUUCAGAGGAGCAUCUGAAGGCCGGUUACAUCACAACGCCACAUGAAGGCUGUCCCAGUCUGAAGGCUCCUCCAGAUGCUCCUUCUCUCUCUUUCACCGCUACGAUCCUUCGUGGCCUCACAUAUCCCAAGAUUCUUUGCUCCCCCGAAAAAGAAGAAAGAAAGAGAGAAAAUGGCGACAUCACAUGGCGUAGAUCGUCACUUUCGCGGGCCUGGGCUGCAGAACGUGACAUAAGAGUAAAACAUCUGGUGACGCAACCAGGAAAUGCUCCAAAGGCUAGACCGUCACAUUUAACAACGGCUGACGAGGUUAACAAGGUCUCUCUGAAGGACUCGCCUUCACAGACCACAAAGACCGAGUCCUUCAGAGACCAGGUCCUUCAGAGGAGGCCGGGUCCUUCAGGGGAGGCCGGGUCCUUCGGAGGAGGCAGGGUCCUUCAGAGGCCGGGUCCUUCAGAGGAGGCCGGGUCCUUCAGAGGCCGGGUCCUUCAGAGGCCGGGUCCUUCAGAGGAGGCCGGGUCCUUCAGAGGAGGCCGGGUCCUUCAGAGGAGGCCGGGUCCUUCAGAGGCCGGGUCCUUCAGAGGCCGGGUCCUUCAGAGGAGGCCGGGUCCUUCAGAGGAGGCCGGGUCCUUCAGAGGCCGGGUCCUUCAGAGGAGGCCGGGUCCUUCAGAGGAGGCUGGGUCCUUCAGAGGCCGGGUCCUUCAGAGGAGGCCGGGUCCUUCAGAGGAGGCUGGGUCCUUCAGAGGAGGCUGGGUCCUUCAGAGGCCGGGUCCUUCAGAGGAGGCUGGGUCCUUCAGAGGUGGCCGGGUCCUUCAGGGGAGGCUAGGUCCUUCAGAGGCCGGGUCCUUCAGAGGAGGCCGGGUCCUUCAGGGGAGGCCGGGUCCUUCAGGGGAGGCUAGGUCCUUCAGAGGCGGGGUCCUUCAGGGGAGGCCGGGUCCUUCAGAGGAGGCCGGAUCCUUCAGGGG